rnacentral:tRNA from 1 species
GGCGGUGUAGCUCAGGGGUUAGAGCAGUGGAAUCAUAAUCCAUGUGUCGGGUGUUCAAAUCACCCCACCGCUACCA